UACGUAGGGUGCGAGCGUUGUCCGGAAUUAUUGGGCGUAAAGGGCUCGUAGGCGGUUUGUCGCGUCGGGAGUGAAAAUCCAGGGCUUAACUCUGGACUGGCUUUCGAUACGGGCAGACUAGAGUUCGGCAGGGGAGACUGGAAUUCCUGGUGUAGCGGUGAAAUGCGCAGAGUAUCAGGAGGAACACCGGUGGCGAAGGCGGGUCUCUGGGCCGAUACUGACGCUGAGGAGCGAAGGCGUGGGGAGCAAACAGG
rnacentral:rRNA from 1 species